AUUGAACGCUGGCGGCAGGCCUAACACAUGCAAGUCGAGCGAGCGGCGGACGGGUGAGUAAUGUAUGGGGACUGCCCGAUAGAGGGGGAUAACUACUGGAAACGGUAGCUAAUACCGCAUACCCUCAGAUAACCAAUAUGGGAUUAGCUUGUAGGUGAGGUAACGGCUCACCUAGGCGACGAUCCCACGGGGGUCUGAGAGGAUGAGCAGCCACACUGGGACUGUGACACGGGCCAGACUCCUACGGAGGCAGGAGUGGGGAAUAUUGCACACAGGGCGCAAUCCUGAUGCAGCCAUGCGGCGUGUAUGAAGAGGGCCUUCGGGUUGUAAAGUACUUUCAGUCGGGAGGCGUUACCGACAGAAGAAGCACCGGCUAACUCCGUGCCAGCAGCCGCGGUAAUAC
rnacentral:rRNA from 1 species